GCACAAGAUAACAUGCUGAAUACAGCCUCUCGUGAUAUAGCAGUAUCAAAUGGAGGUAGGUAUACUGUAACUAGUGUGGGUGGUAAUUGUAUCUAGUGAUGGUCACUGUAUCCAGCCUGGAGGAUAACUGUACCCAGUGAUGGUCACUGUAUCCAGCGUAGGGGUAAUUGUACCAAGUUGGGGUCACUUUAUCCAGCAUAGGGGUAAUUGUACCAAGUCGGGGUCACUGUAUCCAGCAUAGGGG